CAACAAACCUAGCGAGGACCAGCUGUCUUCCUGGCUAAAAUGCAGAAGAGUUUUUCUUUUCCAGUCUUUGCCUGUGCAUUUCGAGCAAACGAAUUCAAUUGCCUUUGUUUUACUCCGAAUUCAAACGGUAACAUGCUUAGUUUUUACCUUUUUAUUUUCAAUUUCGUUUUUCUUUUCGAAUUCAACGGAUCUCAAGCAAAAACAAAAACGAAUUUCAAGUCAAAAUUGGGUUCCAAGGCAAUCCCAAAUGUCCCACAUCGUUUUGAAGCCUAAGAUUUGAACAUUUUGGGAUUCUAUAAAUAGAACCCCAUUUUCUUCAUUCAAGGGGAUGGUUUUUCACACCCCCAAGUUCUGAAAUUUGUAAUUGCUCAGCUUUAAACAAGAAAUUUUCUCUUGUGAACCGAGUCCUUGAAUUAUCGGAACAAGUAAAUAUUUUUGAGUUUGAGUUAAUUGUCGUGUUGGUGAAAGUUCGAAGGUGAUCGACUCAACUUUCGUUGCCCCCGUCGCUGCUCCCGAAAAAAGAGUUCUAAAUCCCAAAUGUCCUUGAUGUGUUUCGAUGGAUGAGGUGUUGCCAAGUUUUGUCGAGACAACAUGUCUGUUGCCAUAUUUUGCUGAUGUCUCUGAUGAGCAAAUACUGCCCCAAAAUGUUGCAUCUGAUGAGAACAUAUACUGUAAUCAAAUGUUGUCACUUUCUAAAGGCAUUUUGCUACUGCGUUUUGCUAUCGGCUGCUGCAUUUUUGGGGCUACUUGUUGCAUUAUUGAGGUCAAAUAUUCUAAGACGAAAGGCGGUAUUUCAAGCCAAGUGAUAACUGCAUGUUAGGCCAAGCAAAAUGCUACAUUCUGGGCCAAAGUGCUGCUGCACUUUCAGAUGUGGCAUUCUGAGGGAAUAUUGCUGCAUUUAAGUGAAUAAGGGGGAAGCUCUUGAGGUUAAAUGUUGCUAUUUGUUUAAGGCGAGCAACUGCUGCACUCUGAGCUGAUUUGCUGCUGCAUUUCAAGGCAAGCAAGUGCAGCCAAAAUGCUGCUUCACUUUAAAGCAAACAGAUGUUGCGUUUGGUGGAAAUGGCUGCUGUAUUUUCUGAGGCCAAACAGAUGCUGGAUUGGUGUCCCAAUGCUGCACUUUAAAGGGCAACAACUGUUGCACUUUAAAGCAAACAGAUGCUUCAUUUGAGCUGUUAUAUUUGAUAAACUAUUGUUGCAUUUCAAUGAGUUUGUCGUUGUACUCUAUGGGCUGCUUGCUGUGUGAGGGCUACAUAUUUAGUAAAUAUAUGAGCUUGGAGGCUAACUGUUGUUGUUGCCCGAAGGGAAAGGGCCAUUAUGUUUUUGCUGAAGUUCGAAAUGGCAUAUCUUGAGCAAACUGCUGCACUUGAGUCGUUGCUUAAGAAGAUAACUGCUAUUUUUUAGCUAGGCCAUGGCUGUCACACUUAGUUGGAUUACUGCUAGCAGCUGCUGCUUUAAGUCGAGUUAUUUUGCUAAGUAACCGUUGUGUUUUGAAGCUCAGAUGUUGCACUUGAUAAAAUGAGUGUUUACUGAUUUGAAUAUAAUACUACACUUGGGCCGAUGAGAAAAAUUUAAAUUGAGGCCAUGCCUUGUCCGGAAAGGUUAUCCCUCGGUUUAGGCGUUGACGACCUCAUAGUAGUAUCACGAGGUAGGAACGAACAUGUGUUUCGCUAGGCAACUAGAAAGGCCACUAGUCUGCAGCCAAGACAUGUUUCGGAUUCCUUUGCCACAUUCAGAAACAUGAAUCUGAGCCUCCGUAAUCAAAGCUCUCAAAGUUUGAUACGAGUCCGAGGGCUAUUAUUAUUAUGUUCAUAAACGUCACCCUAUGGGGUGGCGUAUUAUUUUGACUAACUACUUUUCUCUUCAAUAUGCGAGGUACAAAUAAGCGAAUUUGUGGAGCAAAGCUUAAAGACGAAUUAAGAGAGUUGGAUGCUUAGAGCUUUGGAGUGUUGGAGCUUCGGAUGAAGAACUAGAAAGAGCAUAGAAGGCCUAUUGGAAUAGGAUUGCUAAAAGAUUUGGGCCCAAGGCCGAAAAUCUAAACUUUUUUUCCCUUCCCUUCAUAAUAUGUUUACAUUAGUUUUGUAUAAACAUGUAAAAAUACAUUUGUAUAGAUAUUGAAACCCUUACAAGUUAGAACCUACAAUUUAGGUAAAUGAUGCGGAUAGGGACUCGAAUAUGUUUCAAAUUGGACUCGAGAGAGAAAUGAGUUGUAUUCCAUAACAUGGCACUGGCACUCACACAAGUGCUCUUGUCUCACCUAUACGGGACUCCCAUUCCUCAU